rnacentral:lncRNA from 7 species
AUUUCUAUGAAAUUUGGGGUUGAAUUUGGAAGAACACGAACCUCGGUGUAAUGAUCUUGCAACAAUAGUGGACUGUGGGUUGAUAUACCUAUUUCUAAGAUCUCUUUAACAAAUGUUCCUUGACGAUAGGGGUACUAGUUUACAACAGUCGCCCGAUCUAGAAUCAAGUGCUCAGAUUAGAUCACUUAUACAUCAAAAAGGUAUUCCAAAUUGGCCUCCGGAUCUAGAUCCGAUGGUGAAGAUUUAAAUUUAAUGAGACGAAAGGGGAUCGCGUAGAUCUGAUCUACACCACUCCUUAUCCGAUCGACGACCCGAAUUCUAUGAUGUGAAGAGGUAUCUGACUCCUAAU